rnacentral:rRNA from 1 species
GCCGCGGUAAUACGUAGGGUCCGAGCGUUGUCCGGAAUUACUGGGCGUAAAGAGCUCGUAGGUGGUUUGUCGCGUUGUUCGUGAAAACUCACAGCUUAACUGUGGGCGUGCGGGCGAUACGGGCAGACUUGAGUACUGCAGGGGAGACUGGAAUUCCUGGUGUAGCGGUGGAAUGCGCAGAUAUCAGGAGGAACACCGGUGGCGAAGGCGGGUCUCUGGGCAGUAACUGACGCUGAGGAGCGAAAGCGUGGGGAGCGAACAGGAUUAGAUACCCUGGUAGUCCACGCCGUAAACGGUGGGUACUAGGUGUGGGUUUCCUUCCUUGGGAUCCGUGCCGUASUAACGCAUUAAGUACCCCGCCUGGGGAGUACGGCCRCAAGGCUAAAACUCAAAGAAAUUGACGGGGGCCCGCACAAGCGGCGGAGCAUGUGGAUUAAUUCGAUGCAACGCGAAGAACCUUACCUGGGUUUGACAUGCACAGGACGACUGCAGAGAUGUGGUUUCCCUU